rfam:Arabis alpina cultivar Pajares scaff_73164_1_contig_1, whole genome shotgun sequence.
GGGUGCGAUCAUACCAGCACUAAUGCACCGGAUCCCAUCAGAACUCCGCAGUCAAGCGUGCUUGGGCGAGAGUAGUACUAGGAUGGGUGACCUCCUGGGAAGUCCUCGUGUUGCACCCC